GACGAACCGUCCAAACGUUAUUCGGAAUUAUUGGGCGUAAAGGGCGCGUAGGCGGUGCGGUAAGUCUGCAGUGAAAUCUCUGGGCUCAACUCAGAGUCUGCUGUGGAAACUGCCGUGCUUGAGUGUGGGAGAGGUGAGUGGAAUUCCCGGUGUAGCGGUGAAACGCGUAGAUAUCGGGAGGAACACCUGUGGCGAAAGCGGCUCACUGGACCACAACUGACGCUGAUGCGCGAAAGCUAGGGGAGCAAACAGG
rnacentral:rRNA from 1 species